rnacentral:rRNA from 1 species
AUUGAACGCUGGCGGCAGGCCUAACACAUGCAAGUCGAGCGGAUGAAGGGAGCUUGCUCCUGGCUUCAGCGGCGGACGGGUGAGUAAUGCCUACGAAUCUGCCUGGUAGUGGGGGAUAACGUCCGUAAACGGGCGCUAAUACCGCAUCCGUCCUGAGGGAGAAAGUGGGGGAUCUUCGGACCUCACGCUAUCUGAUGAGCCUAGGUCGGAUUAGCUAGUUGGUGGGGUAAAGGCCUACCAAGGCGACGAUCCGUAACUGGUCUGAGAGGGUGAUCAGUCACACUGGAACUGAGACACGGUCCAGACUCCUACGGGAGGCAGCAGUGGGGAAUAUUGGACAAUGGGCGAAAGCCUGAUCGAGCCAUGCCGCGUGUGUGAAGAAGGUCUUCGGAUUGUAAAACUCUUUAAGUUGGGAGGAAGAGCAGUAAGUGAAUACCUUGCUGUCUUGACGGUACCAACAGAAUAAGCCCCGGCUAACUACGUG